CGGACCGUGUAUAAGUCUCCUGGAAUGGAGCGUCAUAGAGGGUGAGAAUCCCGUCUUUGACACGGACUACCGAGGCUUUGUGGUAUGCUCUCAAAGAGUCGAGUUGUUUGGGAAUGCAGCUCAAAAUGGGUGGUAAAUUCCAUCUAAAGCUAAAUAUUGGCGAGAGACCGAUAGCGAACAAGUACCGUGAGGGAAAGAUGAAAAGAACUUUGGAAAGAGAGUUAAACAGUACGUGAAAUUGCUGAAAGGGAAACGCUUGAAGUCAGUCGCGUUGGCCGGGAAUCAGCCUUGCUUUUGCUUGGUGUACUUUCUGGUUGACGGGCCAGCAUCAGUUUUGACCGGUGGAAAAAGUUCAGGGGAAUGUGGCAUCUUCGGGUGUGUUAUAGCCCUUGUUCGUAUACAUCGGUUGGGACUGAGGAACUCAGCACGCCGCAAGGCCGGGUCUUUGACCACGUUCGUGCUUAGGAUGCUGGCAUAAUGGCUUUAAUCGACCCGUCUUGAAACACGGACCAAGGAGUCUAACAUGCCUGCGAGUGUUUGGGUGGAAAACCCGAGCGCGUAAUGAAAGUGAAAGUUGAGAUCCUUGUCAUGGGGAGCAUCGACGCCCGGACCUGACGUUUUCUGACGGCCCUGCGGUAGAGCAUGUAUGUUGGGACCCGAAAGAUGGUGAACUAUGCCUGAAUAGGGUGAAGCCAGAGGAAACUCUGGUGGAGGCUCGUAGCGAUUCUGACGUGCAAAUCGAUCGUCAAUUUGGGUAUA
rnacentral:rRNA from 2 species